ensembl:ncRNA C29H12.10 ncRNA
GAUGGGGGAUAUAAUAUUUAUAUUCAGAAUUUGAAAAAAUCAAAAUAACAUGUCAUAAAAAUUGUGUAUAUGCACAUGGGAAGAACGGGAGUCCCGUCCCUGCUAGUAGUGCUUCGCAAUGCGCGAGAAAGUAGGGGAGGAGCUGAAGUGGGCGGAGUCUUUGGGACGUGCUCUGCUGCGUCGAGUCAUUAAAGUGAGAAGAG